rnacentral:rRNA from 1 species
CGGAAGCCUGAUCCAGCAACGCCGCGUGAGGAUGACGGUCCGUUCGGGUUGUAAACCUCUUUCAGUACCGACGAGCGCGUUUUGGUGGUGACGGUAGGUACAGAAGAAGCACCGGCCAACUACGUGCCAGCAGCCGCGGUAAUACGUAGGGUGCGAGCGUUGUCCGGAAUUAUUGGGCGUAAAGGGCUCGUAGGCGGUUUGUCGCGUCGGGAGUGAAAACACCGGGCUUAACUCGGUGCUUGCUUUCGAUACGGGCAGACUAGAGGUAUGCAGGGGAGAACGGAAUUCCUGGUGUAGCGGUGAAAUGCGCAGAUAUCAGGAGGAACACCGGUGGCGAAGGCGGUUCUCUGGGCAUUACCUGACGCUGAGGAGCGAAAGUGUGGGGAGCGAACAGGAUUAGAUACCCUGGUAGUCCACACCGUAAACGUUGGGCGCUAGGUGUGGGACCCGUCCACGGGUUCCGUGCCGCAGCUAACGCAUUAAGCGCCCCGCCUGGGGAGUACGGCCGCAAGGCUA